UCACAAGAUAGCCUUCAGUAAGAAUAGAGAAGUAGAUUCAGACUCAUAGAACAGACUGUUUACAGCUAGACCUGAACCCAUAAGCUACAGAGAGAAGGAAGACACAGGGAGAGAAACAGAGAAUUCUAAUUCAGGUUUAUUUGUUUAACUGCAAGUCAUUCAUUUCUUCCGAUCAGAUGGGUAUCGAUACUGGUGAAGGAGCACACAUUACGGCGAGCGCCAAGGUUUCAUCACCGAGGUACAGGGUUCCCUGAUCCCUGUGGGGAGGGAUUUGAUGAAGACAUCAGCAAAUAAAGAUUCUUUGAGGUCUUCCUUUCCAAUUUGGAUCCCUGUGGUUUCCUUCAGUUGUCUGUUUCCUCUAGCUAAGACUUCAAGCACUGUAUUGAACAGAACUCACGGAAAGGUGGAGGAAGUGAGCCAACUCCACAGUGUCAUCCUCCAACUUCCUCAUGGACACUCUGAUGACACACAUCCAUAAAUUCACAGCAGCAAUACAUAAUUAAUUUAAGUAAGACGAAGAUGGAGGAGGAGGGAAAACUUGCACGUUGAUUUUCAAGAGUUAAGACAUCCCUGCUACCUCAAGGCAGGCCAAUGCCCACCACCAACAGGAGUUCACUGGGACGAAAGCAGCCAUAAAACUAAGCCAAAAAGGGCACAGGGCUGUGACUGCCUGGAUGCCAGGACCCACAGUGUUUUCUUUCCUAUUUUCCCUCUCAGUGCUGGGGAUGGAAAUCGGGGUGUCGGUCCCUAAGCAAGUGCUCAAGCCCAGCCCUAGGAUCCGAAGCAGUUCUGCUCCUGUAUUACUAAACCAUUCACAGAAGAACACGCUUGUCCUAAAUAGCUGGCUCUCCCUCACUGCAAUGCUCCAGUUUCCAUACCCCCACGGCAUGCCUGCUUUAUCUUUUAUAAACUGGGUUCCAUGCAAGAUUGCAUUUAAAA